rnacentral:sRNA from 1 species
GCUGGGCAUGGUGGCGGGUGCCUGUAGUCCAAGCUACUCGGGAGGCUGAGGUGGGAGAAUCGCUUGAACCCGGGAGGCAGAGGUUGCAGUGAGCCGACAUUGCGCCACUGCACUCCAGCCUGGGUGACAGAACGAGACUCCGCCUCAA